AACAGAUCUGAUAUGGGAUCAUUGAAAGACAAUAAUCUUGGAACUGUGCAAUACAUUUUUUACAGAAUCACCAUUCUGAGUGGAAUUAUGCUUCAUUCUUCUGUUGCAGACUGUGAAGUACUUGUUCCUUGGAACUGCACCUGUUCAGCAUGACACCUUGCUUUGCUGGUGAUGUCACAUGCAGCACUGACUAUAAUUGGAGAAUGGAACCUCUUUGUGGGUGCAAGGAGUGAAAUCAUUACUGGAUACAGAAAAGAAAAUAAACUAAUCCACACUCAUGAGACACCUGGCUCCCAGCCAGGCAAAGGAGAAAAUAAGGACAAGAAAUCUCUUAGCUGCAUGGAGGAUUGGAGGACCAGACAAGACAAUUUUAGACUCACGCUUAUUGUGAUAUCCUCAGUGCUCUACUGCUGUCCACCAGCAUAA
rnacentral:lncRNA from 1 species